rnacentral:rRNA from 1 species
UCUCUGCUCAGGACGAACGCUGGCGGCGUGCCUAAUACAUGCAAGUCGAGCGGACAGAUGGGAGCUUGCUCCCUGAAGUCAGCGGCGGACGGGUGAGUAACACGUGGGCAACCUGCCUGUAAGACUGGGAUAACUCCGGGAAACCGGGGCUAAUACCGGAUAAUUCUUUCCCUCACAUGAGGGAAAGCUGAAAGAUGGUUUCGGCUAUCACUUACAGAUGGGCCCGCGGCGCAUUAGCUAGUUGGUGAGGUAACGGCUCACCAAGGCAACGAUGCGUAGCCGACCUGAGAGGGUGAUCGGCCACACUGGGACUGAGACACGGCCCAGACUCCUACGGGAGGCAGCAGUAGGGAAUCUUCCGCAAUGGACGAAAGUCUGACGGAGCAACGCCGCGUGAGUGAUGAAGGUUUUCGGAUCGUAAAACUCUGUUGUUAGGGAAGAACAAGUACCGGAGUAACUGCCGGUACCUUGACGGUACCUAACCAGAAAGCCACGGCUAACUACGUGCCAGCAGCCGCGGUAAUACGUAGGUGGCAAGCGUUGUCCGGAAUUAUUGGGCGUAAAGCGCGCGCAGGCGGUUCCUUAAGUCUGAUGUGAAAGCCCCCGGCUCAACCGGGGAGGGUCAUUGGAAACUGGGGAACUUGAGUGCAGAAGAGAAGAGUGGAAUUCCACGUGUAGCGGUGAAAUGCGUAGAGAUGUGGAGGAACACCAGUGGCGAAGGCGACUCUUUGGUCUGUAACUGACGCUUGAGGCG